rnacentral:rRNA from 1 species
AGUGAACGCUGGCGGCGUGCUUAACACAUGCAAGUCGAACGAGAACGGGUUAUAGCUUGCUAUAAUUGUCAGCUAAGUGGCGCACGGGUGAGUAAUGUAUAGGUAAUAUGCCUCUUACUAAGGGAUAACAAAUGGAAACGUUUGCUAAUACCUUAUACUCCUUAUUAACAGAAGUUAAUAAGGGAAAGAUUUAUUGGUAAGAGAUUAGCCUGUAUUGUAUCAGUUAGUUGGUGGGGUAAUGGCUUACCAAGACUAUGACACAUAACUGGUUUGAGAGGAUGAUCAGUCACACUGGAACUGAGACACGGUCCAGACUCCUACGGGAGGCAGCAGUGGGGAAUAUUGCACAAUGGACGGAAGUCUGAUGCAGCAACGCCGCGUGGAGGAUGACACAUUUCGGUGCGUAAACUCCUUUUAUAUGAGAAGAUAAUGACGGUAUUAUAUGAAUAAGCACCUGCUAACUCCGUGCCAGCCGCCGCGGUAAAAC